UUUUUAUUUACUUAAAAACUCACCUUGCUGGGGAGGGAAUUAGAAACUCUUCAAAUAAGAGGAGUACACAGAACCACUGUAAAAAAUCUGGAUACAGCUUUUUGCCUGUCUCAGCAACCACACUGUCUACUGCUUAUGGCAAUUUGUAAGGGUGCCUCAUAAUGUCUGAACACCAGGCUUUUAUAGGCAAUCAGUAAUUUGCAGGUUCACUUCACAGAAUAGACAGUAAUGACCUUGUGCUUCUGGAAGGCAAAAGCAAAAUGGAUGAGGAAAAUUCACAGUACAGAUGAACAACUCUGCAAGGAUUAUUGUUGGAUUACAAGCUGUUCACUCUGUCUUUAUUGCUGGGGGAGAAGGAAUGUAAGGAUGUUACUUGGUUGAUCCGUCUUCUCAAAUUCCCAUGUUACCUUAUGUUUAUUUUGUCUUCUGGUACUAUGUGGUGUUUUAGUAAAUACUGUUCUUAUUAAUGUGUUAGGCUGUUUGCAGGCAACUCAGAUGGUGCCAGUGUAAGGAACCAGAAGUGUAAAUAUCUGAUGCUCUCUUUCAGUAGUUCAUGGCUGAAGCAAGUAUUUUUUUUUUCUUAAAUACUGGUCUCAAAAAUAACUGUUCUGUACUGGACUGUAGUGAUGCCUACGUGUACAUAAACAGGAUUUUAUGUAACGGUUGGUCUUGAGGAAACCCUGGUGAUAACUGUUUUUAUCAGAGUAUUAAUUAUUGCCUCUUUGAGGUCCGAACGUUGAUUUCUCAUCUUGUAUUUCCUUUAUUUCCUUAAAUGUUUUGCAAAAUCUCUUAGAUGAUAGAAAUUUCUCAUGGUCUUCUAGGAGGAGAGAAGCCCAAUAGGAAUAUUUUUAAUACAAUUAAAUUACCUUUACUUGUCUAGGUGACCUGGCACUUUGGAGAUCAUAGUUUUAAGAAUCAAUAACUCAUUUGCUGAAACAGAUACAAAAUGGACUAUGGUAUUGUGUCCAUCUGCAGUUAAUUCUGUGGAAACGAGAAGUUCUCAUCUGGCAUUGAUGUUUAAGUGAGAACAUGUUCCUCAAUAUCUAUAAAAGGGCCUCAAAAUGGAAGGCCUUGCUUUCACUUCUGUGAAGGCUCUUACUUGGCAGUAUUUCACAAACUGAGCACAAAUGUUACGUGCAAGGGACAAAAAAAAAAUGCUAAUUAGAUUAAAAUUAGUUCCUAGGGUAGGGAUUGUUUUCUCCUUAGUUACUUUCCAUCUGCCCUUCUCCAAUGCCCCCUCCUUUGCCAAAGUGCCAAGUGAUUUGUGACUUCCUAUUUUUUAAACUUGAUCCAUUGCAGUGUGAAUUCUAAAUCAUCCUUAAAACAAAACCGUUCAGCAAUUGCUAAAAGUUUGUUGCUUCGUACACGAGCCAAACGUCAGCAACUCUUUCAGAAGAGACAGGUGCCUUAAUAUAACGAGACACUUGCUGCAUGCUUCUGCAUUAAGUGACAUUGAAUUGCUGAGAUAUUGGCAAACCUGUCCAGUAGACACUCAGCUUGUCUUCCUCUGCUGGUUCUAGUUCACUUCACUUAUGCUGACUCUUCUCUUUUCUUUUGUCAUCUGAGAAUUUCCUAUUCAAUGUAAACCUCCUUUUGAGACUAAUUAAAAUCAAGCUAGAGAGAUUCUUUGAAGCAAAAGCACUAUAAAGAAUUAAACUCUCAUUAGUAAUAAGAGAAUAUUAUAAAUAUUAUAUUCCUUCCUCUUUUUUUUUGCUGUUGAUCUUAUAGUUGUGUAGUUGUGAUAUUUAAGAACUGCUUAUAAAGUUUGCUUUCUUAUUCUCUGUACUGCUUUUAUUUGCAUGUGUUAUUUUAUACAUGUAGUGUCUGCUGUUGUGUUAAGGUUAUGAAAAGUGUCUGUUGAUUUUAAGUAAGAAAUAAAAUCUUUCUCAUUUC
ensembl:lncRNA